UUCCUCCUCUCCCUACCUGUCGAUCUCUCUUCCUCCUCUCUCUCUUUAUCUUCCUUGCUCGAUCUCUCUUCCCACUUUCUCUCUCUAUCCCCACCCAAGAUUUUGUUGCCGACCGCCCUACCCACGCACGCCUUCUAACUCUCUCUGAAUCUGUGGUUGAAGGCUAUAAAACUCCACCAACAUUGAGAGAUGGAUAAGAGUUGGAUGCGAGCUAAGAACAGGUUUGGCCCAGAGUAUAAACAAGGGGUUCAAGAGUUCAUGGAAUUUGCGCGAUAUCGGGCAGAUUCAGGCAAUAGGAUUAGGUGUCCAUGUCGAAAAUGCAAGAACAUGAUUUAUAAGACGUUAGACAAAGUAGAAGACGAUUUGUUCAUAGUUGGGAUUGACCAGGGUUACACUUGGUGGAUCUAUCAUGGUGAAGGGUUGCAGCAUAGAGUUGAGGCCACUGAAGUCCGUACUGGCCCAAUUGUGCCGAAUGACGAGGAUGAAGACGUUGGCGAAAUUCAAGAUAUAAUAGGGGAUGUGUUCAGGGGAACAAUUGCGGAUACUGAUUUUUCAGCGACAAGUAGUAGCCAAGAUAUUGCGGAUACUGCCUCCAGCCGAUCCGUUGCUGGGGAGAGCGCCCUACGUUGAGCUGAUAUCGCAGAGAGAG